ensembl:lncRNA
UCCGGUGUCCGGUCCAUUUCCAACACCGUUCGGAAUUGCACUCGGCUUCGAAAUCCAACCGUUGCGAUUAAAAACCAUAGCCGUGUUCAUUCCCCCGCAUUUUCCGUGACGUCUGACUUAAGAGUUUCUCAAAUAACGCGACGGAUCCAAACGGUUGGUGCGUGUGGUCGGACAUUUCUGUAGUCCCUUUAGUUCCUACCUGCGAUUACUUCACACAGAAAUGGAAGAAAAACCUGUAAGCAUGGUUUCUAAAGCUUGGAAAGAAGUACUAGAGAUCGUUGGUGUCUCUAGUGAGUGUACUGAGCUAGCUACCGUUAGCUUGCUUUGUGAAUAUGAGAACAAAGCUCGUACGAAUCCGAGCACGUAACGUCGAACAAUUUUCCUGAUCCAGAGUAAUUUUACUGUUUAAGAAUUAAGAUUUAUUUCUUAGUUUAUAAAAAAAAAAAAAAACUGUAUAUAUUUGUGGUCAAUUUUUUUUGGUGUUAUUUUCAUUCGGUUUAGAAAAAACGCUUCGGAACCCUGACAUCCAAAUAAACGUGACCAUAGCGAAGAACAACACUUGCUUCAUUUCAUGCUAUCGUAAAUAUCUUAAAUAAGACGCACAUACAUUUCUACUACAUAUCGGCAGCUGAUGUUCUUUUGAAACACACGGCAGACCAAGCUGUCGGUAUUUUCUGUUUUAGGUCUUCAUACAAUUCAUCACUUUGCUCUUAACUACUGGUUCGAGCCUGUUUGAACUUUUUUUUUUUUUUUUUAAAAGGAAUCAAGUAAAAACUAAACGGAUCUUAAUGGGGUUCAUUAAAUAAAUUAAGCUUGUAAUGUGGGUGGAAAUUUUUUGAGCUUGCUAAUAAACGCUGCUAAUCGAAUCCGUCUGUUUUCAAUAUGAAAAGACAAUUAAAUUAACUCGGGGUGUUCUUUGGUUUCUAGGCACACAAAGGAAAAUAUGUAGCUUUAUUAUUAUUAUUAUUAUUUUUUUUACAGUUUAUAUGCGAAACUGUAAAAAUCUGAAUCCCACGCUUAUAUAUUCAGACUUUGGACAAGACUGAGAAAAUAAUGCUUUAUUGUAUAAUAGGCAAGUAUGACAGUUCUGGGGGUGGGGGUGUGGGGGUGUGGGGGGGGAACGGUUUCAUUUUGGAAAAAUAAACAGAGCAUAAACAAAAUAUAUGUACAUAAUUAAGGAAAUUUGGAAAUAAUAGUAAUUUGGUAAUUAAUAAUAAAAGUAGGAAUGAGCGAGAAAGUAAAAAAAAGAAACCUGCAGAGAGAGACUGGAAUGCAACGUAGCAAAAAUACUGUCAUUGUAAAAACAUUGGCAAAAACACACUUAUUACGAAUACAACAGCUAACAGAAGCUUAUAUUUUCCAUGUGUAUACUUAUAUACAAGUAAAAACAAAACAACAAAAAAAAAAACAUGCAUAGUUUCUGUUUUAUGGUAUUUAAUAGUACCAAGUCGUAUCAGAUUUUAGAACAUUCAUAUCGAAGUAAGCUAAUAGGAUUUUACACAGCUUAGUCACAUCAGUUUCUUUUAGCAUAUGAUAAAAUUAUUACUAAAAACAUAUAAUGAAAUAUAAUGACUCAGAAGCUCUGAAUGACCCAAUAAUUGGUCCUAAGCAACUUGGAACAAUUUAGAGUUUCAGUUUGGAAGUGAAAUGCAGAGUGGAGUAUUGUAGAGUAUAGAGGAGUGGAGCAGAGUAUUUUAGAGUAUUAUGGAGGAGAGUAUUGUAGAGUGGAGUAGAAUAUUGUAGAGUAUUGUAGAGCAGAGCAUUGUAGCGUAGAGCAGAGUAUUCUAGAGCAGAGUAUUGUAAAGUAGAGCAGAGUGUUGUAGAGUAGAGCAGAGUAUUGUAGAGCAGAGUAUUGUAAAGUAGAGCAGAGUGUUGUAGCGUAGAGCAGAGUAUUGUAGAGCAGAGCAUUGUAGAGUAGAGCAGAGUAUUGUAAAGUAGAGCAGAGUAUUGUAGAGUAGAGAAGACUGUUGUAGAGCAGAGUAUUGUAGAGUAGAGCAGAGUAUUGUAGAGCAGAGUAUUGUAGCAUGGAACAGAGUACUGUAGAGUGGAGCAGAGUAUUGUAGAGUGGAGCAGAGUAUUGUAAAGUAGAGCAGAGUAUUGUAGAGUAGAGAAGACUGUUGUAGAGCAGAGUGAUGUAGAGUAGGCAGAGUAUUGUAGAGUAGAGCAGAGUAUUGUAGAGCAGAGUAUGCUGUAGCAGAGCAGAGUAUUGUAGAGCGGAGCAGAGAGAGCAGAGUAUUGUAGAGCAGAGUAUU